AAGUACUUACUCUAUUUACUUUAAGUGUGAUACGUAAAUACCAAAAUUAGUACAAUAAAAGCUACUUUCUUUCCCUAUUAGUCAUCAAUCAAAAUUCCGAAAUAAGAAAAUUAUUAAGUCACUAUAACACCAGUUCGUGUGUUGCUUGUGAAAUGCAACUUUGAUAAGUAAAAUAUUGAAGAUGAAAGAAAUGUCUGAUGCGAAGUGCACCUACUUAUCCAAACUCGGCUGAGUCAUUGACUACCCUGUUGUAUAUAUCAAGUUCCCUAUCCCUCUUCCAUUAUUAAUUAUUAUUAUUAUUAUUUGGGAAAAUUACGUUACACUUUUAUUAAUAUUGUAAUUAGAAAUUUAGGUCCAGUUUGGU
rnacentral:lncRNA from 1 species